GCAUGCAAGGGUGAUCUGGCUGUGACAUCUGUCACCUUAUUGACCACCAGGAUUAAUUCAGCUGAUCUGGCUGGCUAGGCAGGUGUCCCCUUCCUCCCUCAGCACUCCACGUGCCUCUCUCCCGAAGCUGUGCACUCAGUUGAAGUGGAUGACCAUCUCUGACAGAGGAGGACCGGCCUUCGGUCAAGGGUAGAGAGUAGCUGAGCUCCCCUGCUAGAAUCUCCAGACAAGCUCUCAAAAUUCAACAUAUUCAUUCAUGCAGUAGAGUUUUAUGUUUUUUUUUUUUUUUGAAGGUUUUGUCUGAGCCAGACCCUGAAGA
rnacentral:snRNA from 2 species